GUGAUGUUGUUGGUAGAUCUGUGGUAUUGUUUACACAAAAUAUGUCUAGGCUAAAUUAUAGCUGGACAUGGUAAAGUCACUUGCUUUUUGUUGAAACCAAUUAUUGACAUUUAUAUUAUUUUGUUGUUAGGUUUCUCUCUAUGAAUUACUGAAGACAAUAUGAAAAACUCCAAAUGGUUUUAUGUAUAAAAAAGAAGAUGUGGUAUGAUUGCCAAUGAGACAACUAUCCACAAAAGACCAAAAUGACACAGACAUUAACAACUAUAGGUCACCAUACGGCCUUCAACAAUGAGCAAAGCCCAUACCGCAUAGUGAGCUAUAAAAGGCCCCGAUAAGACAAUGUAAAACAAUUCAAACGAGAAAACUAACGGCCUUAUUUAUGUAAAAAAAUGAACGAAAAACAAAUAUGUAACACAUAAACAAACGACCCACACUGAAUUACAGGCUCCUGACUUGGGACAGGCACAUACAUAAUUAAUGUGGCGGGGUUAAA
rnacentral:lncRNA from 1 species